CUACGGGUUGCAGCAGUGAGGAAUAUUGCACAAUGGGGGGAACCCUGAUGCAGCAACGCCGCGUGGAGGAUGACGCAUUUCGGUGUGUAAACUCCUUUUAUAUGUCAAGAAAAUGACGGUAGCAUAUGAAUAAGCACCGGCUAACUCCGUGCCAGCAGCCGCGGUAAUACGGAGGGUGUAAGCGUUACUCGGAAUCACUGGGCGUAAAGGACGCGUAGGCGGGUUGGAAAGUCAGGUGUGAAAUCCUACAGCUUAACUGUAGAACUGCACUUGAAACUUCUAGUCUAGAGUAUGGGAGGGGGAGAUGGAAUUAGUGGUGUAGGGGUAAAAUCCGUAGAUAUCACUAGGAAUACCUAAAGCGAAGGCGAUCUCCUGGAACAUUACUGACGCUAAGGCGUGAAAGCGUGGGGAGCAAACAGGAUUAGAUACCCUGGUAGUC
rnacentral:rRNA from 1 species